GAAGCAAUUAAACUACCACCCGUAGAGCUAUAUAGGCAUGUUGAAGAUAUUUCUGGAGAUGAAUUGGUAAAAGCAUUACAAAUAAGAAACAAAAUACCUCGAAGAAAAGCUCUUGCUGCAUUAGAGGAGAAAGUAUUAACCAUUCUGACUGAAAAUGGGUAUGCGGUUAAGGAUCAAAUUCCAGGAACUACAGAAAACUUGUUGGAAGCAUGUGAGGAC
rnacentral:misc_RNA from 1 species